CGAACGGGUGAGUAACGCGUGGGUAACCUGCCUUAUAGCGGGGGAUAACUAUUGGAAACGAUAGCUAAUACCGCAUAACAAUAGAGAUUGCAUAAUCUUUAUUUGAAAGUGCCAACUGGUACACUAUGAGAUGGACCCGCGUUGUAUUAGCUAGUUGGUAGUGUAAUGGACUACCAAGGCGAUGAUACAUAGCCGACCUGAGAGGGUGAUCGGCCACAUUGGGACUGAGACACGGCCCAAACUCCUACGGGAGGCAGCAGUAGGGAAUCUUCGGCAAUGGACGAAAGUCUGACCGAGCAACGCCGCGUGAGUGAAGAAGGUUUUCGGAUCGUAAAACUCUGUUGUUAGAGAAGAAUGUUGAUUAGAGUGGAAAAUUAAUCAAGUGACGGUAUCUAACCAGAAAGGGACGGCUAACUACGUGCCAGCAGCCGCGGUAAUACGUAGGUCCCGAGCGUUGUCCGGAUUUAUUGGGCGUAAAGCGAGCGCAGGUGGUUUAAUAAGUCUGAUGUAAAAGGCAGUGGCUCAACCAUUGUGUGCAUUGGAAACUGUUAGACUUGAGUGCAGUAGAGGAGAGUGGAAUUCCAUGUGUAGCGGUGAAAUGCGUAGAUAUAUGGAGGAACACCGGUGGCGAAAGCGGCUCUCUGGACUGUCACUGACACUGAGGCUCGAAAGCGUGGGUAGCAAACAGGAUUAGAUACCCUGGUAGUCCACGCCGUAAACGAUGAGUGCUAGUUGUUUGGGGCUAUCCAGCCCUAAGUGACGCAGCAAACGCAUUAAGCACUCCGCCUGGGGAGUACGACCGCAAGGUUGAAACUCAAAGGAAUUGACGGGGGCCCGCACAAGCGGUGGAGCAUGUGGUUUAAUUCGAAGCAACGCGAAGAACCUUACCAGG
rnacentral:rRNA from 1 species